rnacentral:rRNA from 1 species
AUUGAACGCUGGCGGCAGGCCUCACACAUGCAAGUCGAGCGGAGCGGCGGACGGGUGAGUAAUGCCUAGGAAUCUGCCUUGUAGUGGGGGAUAACGUCCGGAAACGAGCCCUACUACCGCAUACUAUCAGAUGAGCCUAGGUCGGUUUAGCUAGUUGGUGGGGUAAAGGCCUACCAAGGCGACGAUCCGGAACUGGUCUGAGAGGAUGAUCAGUCACACUGGAAAUGGGACACGGUCCAGACGCCUACGGGAGGCAGCAGUGGGGAAUAUUGGACAAUGGGCGAAAGGCUGAUCAAGCCAUGCCGCGUGUGUGAAGAAGGUCUGCGGAUUGUAAAGCACUUUAAGUUGGGAGGCGUUACCAACAGAAUAAGCACCGGCUAACUUCGUGCCAGCAGCCGCGGUAAUAC